UACGAAGGGUGCAAGCGUUACUCGGAAUUACUGGGCGUAAAGCGUGCGUAGGCGGUUUGUUAAGUCUGUUGUGAAAGCCCCGGGCUCAACCUGGGAAUGGCAAUGGAACUGGCGAGCUAGAGUACGGUAGAGGAGAGUGGAAUUCCCGGUGUAGCAGUGAAAUGCGUAGAGAUCCGGAGGAACACCAGUGGCGAAGGCGGCUCGCUGGGCUCUACCUGACGCUGAGGCGACGAAAGCGUGGGGAGCGAACCGG
rnacentral:rRNA from 1 species